rnacentral:lncRNA from 1 species
GCUCUUCCUAUAGUAAGCCCUUUUCUACAUGUCCGAGACUUGUACAGAUGACUUUCACACUCUUCCUGACUUGUUUAUUAUCAUACCCAGAGUCUCUGUGACACUUAAGAGAACUUGCCAACAUGUUGGACAUCUUUCCUGACUUCUUAGGCCUGUUUCUGAUGACUCAAAGAUACUCUGUAGCUUGUCUGACACCCUCCAUGUAUAGAUUCCUUUUAUGUGUUUGAGAUUCUUCCUAUUUUAGUAUUUCUGCUCAGCCUAAUGAUUGUGACAUGCUCCCUUACACUUAUAAACCCAUUUGUGACACAGUUGUACCCUUUCCCAAUAUUCAAGACACUGUCGGGCAUGUUUGACAUCCUAGCUGCUUUUUUGAGACCCUUCAGAUUUACUGACAGAUCUGAGAACUUUCUUGACUCUGUGGGUGUAGCCCAUUCCUGACAUUUUCCCAAGUCCUCCUGCUUUGGGUGAGACUGUUCGUGACAUGUUAGACAUCUCUUCUGAGUUACUUGAGAGCCUUCACAACUUAUAUGAAAGCUUCCCCUGGCAUACCUGAGACUCUUUCAAAGGUAUCUGGGGCUCUUUCUCCCAGUUAGAGAUGCACAUUGACUUGUUUGGAGCUUAUCUUAAUCACACAGAGAAACUUUCAGACUUGUUGGAUGAAAUUCCUAAUGCCUUUAAGACAUUCCCCCAAAACAUAGCACUUUCUAACAUUCUGUUACACCGUUGGGUGUCUUUAAGGUUACUCCUGACACAUUUGAGACCCUUUUUGAUAUGGUGACAUUCUUUGUUGUACCUAAGACACUUCCAUUCUGAGACCCUUCCUGACUUAAUUACAACCCUUUUUUAAAAACAUUUCUUUUUAUUUUCUGUGAAUGAGUGUUAGCUUGCAUGUAUGUAUGUGCAUGGUAUGUACCUGGUACUCACAGAGACCAGAUGAAGAUGUUGGAUUCCCUGAAACUGGAGUUACAGAUGGAUGUGAGCUAGAUGUGGGUGCUGGGAACUGAACUGCAAGUGUAUCAAGUACUCUUAACUGUUGAGUCAUCUCUCUAGCCAAAUUAUAGCCCUGAGUUGCUUUGAAAACUUUCCUGAUUUAUUUGAGAUAUUUCUUGAUGUGUUUGAAAACUUUCCUGUAUAUUCUAGAAUGAUACUAAAAAGUUUUAGAUACCAUCUUCCAUGACUCUCCCAGUCAAAUACCUACUUGGACUGGAUUGGGAACUGGUCUGUUAUAUCUAGGA